rnacentral:rRNA from 1 species
CACCUUAAACCUAGCCCAAAUAUUUGACCUCAAAAACAAAAUAUUACAUCACCAACACCCUAAGUAUAAAACCCAAUAAACCAUUCUUUUACCUUAGUAUAGGAGAUAGAAAAGGAAAGAUGAAUACAGGAGCUAUAGAAGAGUACCGCAAGGGAAAGUUGAAAAAGAAAUGAAAAACAUCAAGUAUAAAAAAGCAGAGAUUUCCGCUCUUACCUUUUGCAUCAUGGUUUAGCUAGUAUCUUCAAGCAAAAUGUAUUUUAGUUUGAAACCCCGAAGCUAGCGCGAGCUACUUCAAGACAGCCUAUUAGGGCGAACCCGUCUCUGUAGCAAAAGAGUGGGAUGAUCUUCAAGUAGCGGUGAAAUACCUAUCGAGCUUAGUGAUAGCUGGUUGCCUGAAAAAUGGAUAGGAGUUCAGCCUUUAGGCUUCUUUUAAAGGAAAACAAAAAACUUGAAAAGAAGCCUAAAGAGUUAAUCAUUGGAGGUACAGCUCCUUUGAUGAAGGAAACAACUUUAAUAGAAGGGUAAGGAUCAUAUGAAGCAUGUAACAAAUAUAUGUGGGCCUGCAAGCAGCCACCCCGAAAAGAAUGCGUUAUAGCUCGCACCAUCAUAAGCUCUUAAUUCUGAUAUUUAAAUCCAACCCCUCUAGCACAACACCAGGCCCCUCCAUGCAGACAUGGAAGAGAUAAUGCUAAAAUGAGUAAUAAGAGGCCUAGCCCUCUCCAAUGCAUAAGUGUACAUCGAAAUGGACUAGCCAUCGAAAAUUAACGGCCCCAAUUAAAGAGGGCACAGGAUCAAAAAAGCAUAAAUUAGAAAUACAACCUGCUCAAACCGUUAACCCAACACAGGAGUGCUAAAGGAAAGACUAAAGAAAAAAGAAGGAACUCGGCAAACAAAAGCCUCGCCUGUUUACCAAAAACAUCACCUCUUGUACAUGCCAAAUAAGAGGCCCCGCCUGCCCUGUGACUAUAUGUUUAACGGCCGCGGUAUCUUGACCGUGCGAAGGUAGCGCAAUCAAUUGUCUUUUAAAUGGAGACCUGUAUGAAUGGCACAACGAGGGCUUGACUGUCUCCUUUUCUCAGUCAAUGAAAUUGAUCUCCCCGUGCAGAAGCGGGGGUGAACACAUAAGACGAGAAGACCCUGUGGAGCUUUAGACGCUAGGGCAGCUUAAUGUUGAAUUAUCCUCUCAAAGCAUAAUAUCUGAAACUCCUGCCCUCAUGUCUUUGGUUGGGGCGACCAUGGAGUAAAGAGCAACCUCCACGUGGAAUAGGAGUACUACUCCCUAAAACUAGGGCUACCACCCCACUUGUCAGAAUUUCUGGCCUUAUAGAUCCGGCUUUAUGCCGAUUAACGAAUUGAGUUACCCCAGGGAUAACAGCGCAAUCCCCUUUAAAAGACCAUAUCUAAAAGGGGGUUUACGACCUCGAUGUUGGAUCAGGACAUCCUAUUGGUGCAACCGCUAUUAAGGGUUCGUUUGUUCAACGAUUAAAGUCCUACGUGAACUGAGUUCAGACCGAAGUAAUUCAGGUCAGAUUCUAUCUAUGGAUUGACCUUCUCUAGUACGAAAGGAUCGAGAUACGGUGGAGUCAAUAUUCUAGACACACUCCUUCCCCAGCUAAUGAAUACAACUAAAAAAGACAAGGGACAUAUUAAAUAACCCAAGACUAGGAG